rnacentral:rRNA from 1 species
UACGUAGGUGGCAAGCGUUGCUCGGAAUCACUGGGCGUAAAGGGCGCGUAGGCGGGGAGGUAAGUCGGGUGUGAAAUCCCUCGGCCCAACUGAGGAACUGCGUCCGAGACUGCUUCUCUUGAGUCCCGGAGAGGAAGAUGGAAUUCCCGGUGUAGCGGUGAAAUGUGUAGAGAUCGGGAGGAACACCGGUGGCGAAGGCGGCCUUCUGGACGGUGACUGACGCUGAGGCGCGAAAGCGUGGGGAGCAAACGGG